CACUCUGGUAGCCUAGAGGUUAGAGCGUCCACUUCGGAUGUGGGAGGUCGUGGGUUCAAUUCUCGGUCGAGUCA